rnacentral:rRNA from 1 species
UGCAGUCGAGCGGUAGCACAGAGAGCUUGCUCUCGGGUGACGAGCGGCGGACGGGUGAGUAAUGUCUGGGAAACUGCCUGAUGGAGGGGGAUAACUACUGGAAACGGUAGCUAAUACCGCAUAACGUCGCAAGACCAAAGUGGGGGACCUUCGGGCCUCAUGCCAUCAGAUGUGCCCAGAUGGGAUUAGCUAGUAGGUGGGGUAACGGCUCACCUAGGCGACGAUCCCUAGCUGGUCUGAGAGGAUGACCAGCCACACUGGAACUGAGACACGGUCCAGACUCCUACGGGAGGCAGCAGUGGGGAAUAUUGCACAAUGGGCGCAAGCCUGAUGCAGCCAUGCCGCGUGUGUGAAGAAGGCCUUCGGGUUGUAAAGCACUUUCAGCGGGGAGGAAGGCGUUGAGGUUAAUAACCUUGGCGAUUGACGUUACCCGCAGAAGAAGCACCGGCUAACUCCGUGCCAGCAGCCGCGGUAAUACGGAGGGUGCAAGCGUUAAUCGGAAUUACUGGGCGUAAAGCGCACGCAGGCGGUCUGUCAAGUCGGAUGUGAAAUCCCCGGGCUCAACCUGGGAACUGCAUUCGAAACUGGCAGGCUAGAGUCUUGUAGAGGGGGGUAGAAUUCCAGGUGUAGCGGUGAAAUGCGUAGAGAUCUGGAGGAAUACCGGUGGCGAAGGCGGCCCCCUGGACAAAGACUGACGCUCAGGUGCGAAAGCGUGGGGAGCAAACAGGAUUAGAUACCCUGGUAGUCCACGCCGUAAACGAUGUCGAUUUGGAGGUUGUGCCCUUGAGGCGUGGCUUCCGGAGCUAACGCGUUAAAUCGACCGCCUGGGGAGUACGGCCGCAAGGUUAAAACUCAAAUGAAUUGACGGGGGCCCGCACAAGCGGUGGAGCAUGUGGUUUAAUUCGAUGCAACGCGAAGAACCUUACCUGGUCUUGACAUCCACAGAACUUACCAGAGAUGCAUUGGUGCCUUCGGGAACUGUGAGACAGGUGCUGCAUGGCUGUCGUCAGCUCGUGUUGUGAAAUGUUGGGUUAAGUCCCGCAACGAGCGCAACCCUUAUCCUUUGUUGCCAGCGGUUAGGCCGGGAACUCAAAGGAGACUGCCAGUGAUAAACUGGAGGAAGGUGGGGAUGACGUCAAGUCAUCAUGGCCCUUACGACCAGGGCUACACACGUGCUACAAUGGCAUAUACAAAGAGAAGCGACCUCGCGAGAGCAAGCGGACCUCAUAAAGUAUGUCGUAGUCCGGAUUGGAGUCUGCAACUCGACUCCAUGAAGUCGGAAUCGCUAGUAAUCGUAGAUCAGAAUGCUACGGUGAAUACGUUCCCGGGCCUUGUACACACCGCCCGUCACACCAUGGGAGUGGGUUGCAAAAGAAGUAGGUAGCUUAACCUU